rnacentral:sRNA from 1 species
UAAUCUCAUCAGUUGUUCUCAGUACAGUUC